GCCAGCUGCUAUAUCACCCUGCAACUCACAACUGGCAGCCCAGUGAAGCUCAGCAGGUUUCAGCCUGGCCAGUACCUGGAUGAGAGACCUCAUGGGAAAGCUAAGGUUGCUGCUGGAA
rnacentral:rRNA from 1 species